rnacentral:rRNA from 1 species
GAGAGUUUGAUCCUGGCUCAGGACGAACGCUGGCGGCGUGCUUAACACAUGCAAGUCGAACGGAAAGGCCCUUCGGGGUACUCGAGUGGCGAACGGGUGAGUAACACGUGGGUAAUCUGCCCUGCACUUUGGGAUAAGCCUGGGAAACUGGGUCUAAUACCGAAUAUGACCACGGGAGGCAUGUCCUGUGGUGGAAAGCUUUUGCGGUGUGGGAUGGGCCCGCGGCCUAUCAGCUUGUUGGUGGGGUGAUGGCCUACCAAGGCGACGACGGGUAGCCGGCCUGAGAGGGUGUCCGGCCACACUGGGACUGAGAUACGGCCCAGACUCCUACGGGAGGCAGCAGUGGGGAAUAUUGCACAAUGGGCGCAAGCCUGAUGCAGCGACGCCGCGUGGGGGAUGACGGCCUUCGGGUUGUAAACCUCUUUCACCAUUGACGAAGGUCCGGGUUUUCUCGGAUUGACGGUAGGUGGAGAAGAAGCACCGGCCAACUACGUGCCAGCAGCCGCGGUAAUACGUAGGGUGCGAGCGUUGUCCGGAAUUACUGGGCGUAAAGAGCUCGUAGGUGGUUUGUCGCGUUGUUCGUGAAAUCUCACGGCUUAACUGUGAGCGUGCGGGCGAUACGGGCAGACUGGAGUACUGCAGGGGAGACUGGAAUUCCUGGUGUAGCGGUGGAAUGCGCAGAUAUCAGGAGGAACACCGGUGGCGAAGGCGGGUCUCUGGGCAGUAACUGACGCUGAGGAGCGAAAGCGUGGGGAGCGAACAGGAUUAGAUACCCUGGUAGUCCACGCCGUAAACGGUGGGUACUAGGUGUGGGUUUCCUUCCUUGGGAUCCGUGCCGUAGCUAACGCAUUAAGUACCCCGCCUGGGGAGUACGGCCGCAAGGCUAAAACUCAAAGAAAUUGACGGGGGCCCGCACAAGCGGCGGAGCAUGUGGAUUAAUUCGAUGCAACGCGAAGAACCUUACCUGGGUUUGACAUGCACAGGACGCCGGCAGAGAUGUCGGUUCCCUUGUGGCCUGUGUGCA